rnacentral:other from 1 species
AGAGUCCUGAUGUGUUCGUUGUAUAACCUGAAGUUUUGACCGAACAUUGAGUACUUCGGGAAUCCGGAGUUCCCAGGCUGCGCAAACGCCCCUAUGGAUUGGGGACUUGCAGGAGUGUGGGACAGGAUGCCCACCUGCCGAGAGCGGGUUCAAAAUGAAGGCGCCAAAGCGACGGCACAAUUGGGACUCUU